AAGGAUAAGGCAGCCAUCGAACAUACAAGGACACCACCCCCACUCGUUCUCUUCUUCUUCAUUAACAACCAACAUCCACCCUUCAGUUCACCAUCGUCACUGGACCUCCUCACGACCUCUGAAUACCAAAAUCGUUCUCCACCAGCCCACGAUCUAAACUCAAUCACUUACACCAAAACUCGCUGGAAACCAGUAGCAACAGCUACCAUAGCUGGCCAAAGAUCCGGCAGAAACUUUGAGCAUGAAACUGAGAUGGAUGUGAUCUGAGUCGUUGUACGACGUUGGGUUCUGAUUCGAGCCCUGUUUUCGUUCGAGGUUGAAAGGCGCAUAGACGUUCUCAUUUCCGGUCUGUGCAAGUUUCGAACCCGGUUUCUCGAACUUUGUUGGUUCUGUUUUUACUUUCUCGCAAGGCUUGUACUCACAUAUUUCAUCUGUUGAUAUUAAAGAGAAUCCUCUUCAAACAGGUUUAUUUCUUUACUGGUUUAUUUGUGUUAAUCAUGUAUUGGUACUCAUUCAAAUUUUGAUCAUAGGAGUUGAUUGUUGAAGAAAAGAUCCUGCAAUUUGGUUAUUCUUAUUGAUUAAGUUACAGCCGUCUCUUUGGCUUAACCCCUUGUAUAAAAGGAUUAGAUCUUAUGUGAUUAGUAAGCUGACUGGUUGUAUUAGUUAACUUUUUAUGAUUUAAAUGUCAUUAGUCUUACUAGAACUCUCUGUCGCAAUUUCAUUAAAGCCUUCGAUGAUCUCAUUUUAAUCAAGUGAACUUGGAGUCUACUUUUAAAACAUGAUUUGUUCUCCUUCCCCAUUCACUCAAUGUGAGU
rnacentral:lncRNA from 1 species